UGGGGAAUAUUGCACAAUGGGCGCAAGCCUGAUGCAGCCAUGCCGCGUGUAUGAAGAAGGCCUUCGGGUUGUAAAGUACUUUCAGUCGGGAGGAAGGUGGUAAGGUUAAUAACCUUGGCAAUUGACGUUACCGACAGAAGAAGCACCGGCUAACUCCGUGCCAGCAGCCGCGGUAAUACGGAGGGUGCAAGCGUUAAUCGGAAUUACUGGGCGUAAAGCGCACGCAGGCGGUUGAUUGAGUCAGAUGUGAAAUCCCCGGGCUUAACCCGGGAAUUGCAUCUGAUACUGGUCAGCUAGAGUCUUGUAGAGGGGGGUAGAAUUCCAUGUGUAGCGGUGAAGUGCGUAGAGAUGUGGAGGAAUACCGGUGGCGAAGGCGGCCCCCUGGACAAAGACUGACGCUCAGGUGCGAAAGCGUGGGGAGCAAACAGG
rnacentral:rRNA from 1 species